GACGAACGCUGGCGGCGUGCCUAAUACAUGCAAGUCGAACGCUUCUUUCCUCCCGUGUGCUUGCACUCAAUUGGAAAGAGGAGUGGCGGACGGGUGAGUAACACGCGGGUAACCUACCCAUCAGUGGGGGAUAACACUUGGAAACCGGUGCUAAUCCCGCAUAACAGUUUAUGCCGCAUGGCAUAAGAGUGAAAGGCGCUUUCGGGUGUCGUUGAUGGCUGGUUCCGCGGUGCAUUAGCUAGUCGGUGAGGUAACGGUUCACCAAGGCCAAGAUGCAUAGCCGACCUGAGUGGGGGAUCGGCCACACUGGGACUGAGACACGGCCCAGACUCCUACGGGAGGCAGCAGUAGGGAAUCUUCGGCAAUGGACGAAAGUCUGGCCGAGCAACGCCGCGUGAGUGAAGAAGGUUUUCGGAUCGGAAAACUCUGUUGUGAGUGAAGAACAAGUUCGUUAGUAACUGAACGUCCCCUGACGGUAUCUAACCAGAAAGCCACGGCUAACUACGUG
rnacentral:rRNA from 1 species